rnacentral:rRNA from 1 species
GACGAACGCUGGCGGCGUGCCUAAUACAUGCAAGUAGAACGCAGUUGCGAACGGGUGAGUAACGCGUAGGUAACUGCCUCAUAGCGGGGGAUAACUAUUGGAAACGAUAGCUAAUACCGCAGUCUGUGAGAUGGACCUGAGUUGUAUUAGUCAGGUGGUGAGGUAAAGGCUCGCCAAGGCGACGAUACAUAGCCGACUUGAGAGGGUGAUCGGGCACACCGGGACUGAGACACGGCCCCUACUCCUUCGGGAGGCAGCAGUAGGGAAUCUUCGGCAAUGGACGGAAGUCUGACCGAGCAACGCCGCGGGAGUGAAGAAGGUUUUCGGAUCGUAAAGCUCUGUUGUUAGAGAAGCGGUAACUACCCAGAAAGGGACGGCUAACUCCGUGCCAGCAGCCGCGGUAAUAC